rnacentral:lncRNA from 1 species
AAAUUUUUCACGAGCCCGUGACCUUGACUCCCGCUCCCACUCUGUCUCUCUCUUCCCCUCGAUCCCUUCCCCCUUGCCUCUGCCUCUCUUUCUCCAUCUCAUACCCUAGCUCUUUCUUCCGUCCAUCCCACUGCCCUCGACGUUCUCGUCGGUGUCAAGAAGCACCUCUGCUACUCUUCGCGGUCGUCCAUCCCACGACGUCGUCAUCCAUCCCACUGCCCCCGGUGACCUCGCCAUCUCUCUCUUCCCCUCCAUCCCUUCCCUCUUGCCUCUGCCUCUCUUUCUCCAUCUCACACCUUNNNNNNNNNNNNNNNNNNNNGACGUCGUCAUCCAUCCCACUGCCCCCGGUGACCUCGCCAUCUCUCUCUUCCCCUCCAUCCCUUCCCUCUUGCCUCUGCCUCUCUUUCUCCAUCUCACACCUUAGCUCUCUCCUCCAUCCAUCCCACUGCCCUCGGUGAUCUCGUCGGCAUCAAGAAGCACCUUUGCAACCUGCCGUUGUCCAUCCCACUGCCCUCGGCGACCUCGCCAGCCACAAGCAAGGGGUCUUCACCCGCUGCUCCAAGGCCUACACCAUCCAGUCCGACUACAAGGCCUGCUAAAAGAUCCGUAGCACCCGUGGCCUCUCCUACGACUGUGGUCGUGUCUUCUCCCGGUGAGUGCGUUCUAUGGAAGCAUCUUCUAUUUUUCUCUCACGAAUGAUCCCGUUGGAAGCUCAAUGUGUGGUCGGUUGGUUUAAUUUCCUCUAUAACAUCACAAAGAUUUCGAUCCUAAUUUUUUUUUCAUUUUCUUUAUUUUCUUGUAGUUUUAUGUAUUUGUUUAGCUUUUAGAUGAAUCUUUGGAGCUAAUUAAACGAGCAGUAUCCAAACCCAAGAAGGAUUUUGUUGAUUUGGUUUGCUUAUUACUGAAAAACUCGAGCAUGCUUUCAUUUCUCUCCUAAUCUCCUUGAUUUGGUUUUUCUUUCUUGGGUUGAUCAAAAAGCACCAAUGU